rnacentral:lncRNA from 1 species
CUACAAUUGCAGUACAAACCUCCUUUCGCAAAAAUUUUCAAAUAACAACGGGAAGAAGUUGUUGCAACAACACAUGACAAUCGUGAGUUUUCAAAACUAAAAUUUUGCCUUCAUUUUCUCGAACACAUUUAGAAAUAUUUGAUGCAUAUCCAUCAGGAAACUUCACAGAUUUCAAGAACUUACAAAAGAUUUUUUUUCCUCCAACGUUAAUGUGUAAGAAGCACGAGGUUUCAAAAAUCCAUUACCAUGUGGUUUUAAAUGCAAUUCUUUUCUAAUGUUCAUAUCUUGCAAAUCCAAUCUAGCCUUAUUCGUAUCUUUUGUUUUCCCUUCAAC